GCCCUGGGAGCAGUCAGAGAAAUAAAAUAAAAAGGAAGCAGUUAGGGAGGAAAGAAUUGUUUUGUGGGUGCUAGAAUGCUGAGUAAUCAAACAAUUUAGGUUAAAGAGCCAGUGGAUUGUCCCAGCAGCAAAAUUUAAGGAAGGAAACAGAAGUAGAAAAUGCACUCCCUGAUCCUCUGAAGAGCUUGGUCAGCUUGUUAGCUGAAGGGAGUGCACCUGUGAUCUGCUUGGGUUUUGGCCAUGAAAUAGGAUUCCUAAGCUUCCCUGUGAUUGAUAGUAGAUAAAAAUCUUGGAAAUGGAAGUGUAAUUCUGUUCUCAAGUUGUAUCAGUUCUAUAAAUAAUUUGGAAAAGGAUAGGACUUGAAUUUCCAUGCCCCUGAGUAAGAGAUGCUGAACAAAAUGUUAUUUCUGCUUGCAUAUUUCCACUCCCCUUUCACUGUGUUUUUCAAAUAUUGAACCACAAAAGAUUGUAAAUUGACCUUAGUGUCUUGCUGCAUAGGUGAAAUUCUCUGCAAGAAGGCAGGUUGACUCUGGAACAGAUCAAGAACAGGAGAAAAAGAGGGAUUGUCCUUCAGAGGGAUAAUUUGAAAACGUCUAUAAAGGUGUAUGUAUGUUUGCAUUGGAAUCAGUCUAAGCUUCAGGCUGUGGCAUCAAUGCUCCAGUUUAUGGAGCUGUCCUGAAAGUUGUCUCUCCAUGAAAACAGUACAACGUUGUUGUCAGCACAGCUCUUUCCAGAUGUCUGCCUUAGCAUACCUGGCCAGCGUGGGUAGGCAUGAGGACCCAAGCCUCUUUGCAGGCUGUGCACAUCCCUGCUCUUUCUCCAGCCCCACAAGACCUGGGCGUUCCUGGUGGAGCAAAAAUGUGGGCCUUGUGCACAUGUGUUGCUUGCAGGCUUUUCUAAGUAGGAGUUAUGCUAUUUCAUCAGCAAACCAAUGGACAAAUAGACAGGGAGGUAUGUGAGUAAGGUUAGUUGAUUCUUUAAUUUUCACAAGCUGUUCAUUGGUGAGUUCUAUGAGAGUGGGGUAAAUUACAAGGUUGCUAGUGUCAUAGAUUUUGGGAGAGGAUGAUGUUAGUUCAGACCUGCAGGCUGCCAAUGGGAAACAUUUCUCUCUGCAUGUUCUGGUAGAGGAGGCUUUGGUGGCAGCUUCAUUUUCUGUUUCUGCCAGGGUCUGCAUUGUUUUCAAGGCUUUAUUACUAAUUUUCUUUUCGUCCUCUGAACACUUAAAAUUAUGUAAGCAAAUUUAAAAAGACUGCAAGCUUCAGAAUUAGGAAUCAGUCAGCGUGGGGAAAAUAACCUGUGGAAAAGUUUUGGUUUGAAAUAAAAUCUGCAUAAUCAAGCAAGCAGUUGAACAUUCUUAACAUUAGGACUGUAACUGUGUGUAUUUUGAUCUGCUUGGGAGAUUUUCACCUCAGACUUUGACUGGCCUUUGAAGAAGUAUUCAUCGGGUCAGCAAACUAAUGACUGCAUUAUUUUCCAGCAGAACUGCUGCAUUUGAACUAGCGUGAGUCUGGAGAGUUAUAUUUGCAAUGCCCUUACAAAUUCUGUCAGUGCAUGUGAUCACACAUGAGGCUAUUCUUUCCUUGUGUAAUUAAUCCCUUUUGGAUCUAUAUUGGCUAUCUUUAUAUUAACUUUCACUGUGGUCCCAGCCUCCCACAAAGCAAUUAUUCCAUUAUUGAAGAUGGAAUUGAUAUUUCCUUACAGAUGCCACCAGACUUGUCUUUCCUAAGCAUUUCCUAGGCAUUCCCUAGGCUGGGACUGAGCUGCUUUUCAGACCAUUCCCAGAGCCACUGGCUCCUGCUCUUUUCCCGGUUCCUACAGCAACCAGACCACAGGUCGUGCCCAGCAGCUUCUCAAGUCAAACAACCAUGGCACCAAUCUGUUUCUUGAACUUCAGUGUCAAUUCUGCUGCUUCGCCUGAGGUCUUUCCUUCUGUGCCUUGCAAGUCUGGGCCCAGCUGCUCCUGCUAAGGUGCAAACUCUUUUUCCCCCAUGUCCAGCUCUCAGCCAAGUAUUGCACAGUGAAACUUAAUCUGCUGCAGCCAUCACAUCAGUAUGACUUAGGGCUCUGCUUUUUUUCCCUCAUACCGCUGUGUCACCUUUCAGCAAUAUUGGAAGAGGGCAGGUAUGAACUAAGGGAGCAGCUGUGGUAUAUGGGAGUCAUUAUACACUUUGCUAGAUGGAGUUCAGAUGGACCAUUUAACCUGCAAGCAUGGUAGGUGUAUGAGGAGGGGCCAGCAGCAACACGAACCACUUACUGGGAAGCCCUUGAGCUGCUGGGUGUGUUUUACUCUCCUAUGCAGAAAUAGGAGCUCUAGAUGCCCUGUCCUGUGCAAUUCCCACAUUUUCUUUGGGAAAGAAAUAGUGCUUAGUGUUCCUGGGGUGAUUCACUCCCUUGUCCGCAAAGCAGCACCCUCCAUCCACCCCCUUCAGCUGCAGGGUGCUACCUGGCCCAAGUUCUGCAUUAAACCAGUUGUGCGAUACCUGCUGCUGCACGCUGUGCCCAAGGAGCUACUUUCAGCCCUGAGCCUCAGCUGGUAGCCUGGGGGAGCAGAGGUGGCACGUGGAAGGGCAUGGAAGAAAGUACCAAAGAUCCAGCCCUACCUGCCAGCUUAUUUAAAAAUAACUGUGAAAAAUAAUUAAGUUUUCAUUGUUCUGGAGAAACUGGGCUGAGAAAGAGAUUCACUUUCCUCGUUUUAGUUAUCUGUUAGAGUGGCGGAUGGGAACUUGGUAUCUGCAGACGCUUGGUGCUGGGCUCUGUGGGCAUGGAAGUAGCUGGGAGGUGCAUUGCACUGCUGAGCAACCUGCCCAGACCUCCCUGUCCCUUCCUCCUCAGGGAAAUGCUGAGUACCCUCGUAAGGCCCUGUGACCAAGCUGGAGCCACAGGAGGCAGCGGAGAGCAUCCCUACAGCCUCUACUUACCGCCUGCGUGCAGCACAGCAACCAUGAUGGAGGGGAACCACGAUGUCUCGCUGUUGGUGGCCUGGAACUCAUGCUGGAGGAUCCUGGCAGAUUGCUCGAGAAAUGACUGCCUUCCCCUUUUAUAUUGCACAAGACAGUGAGCGCAGCCAGGUACAGAACAGGACCACACCUCCUUUGAGGUCUGAAGCUGAAAGGUCCCAGGUUUGCUUUCUAUGAGAUCAGCAGCAUGAAACAACAAGAGCAUUUCACGUGAAUAAAGGCACAAAACAAAUCUUUGGCAGCUGGACAAGCUCAAGAAAAGCGCCGUAAGGUUUGCACCCUACAGUAUUUAUUUAGCACUCGACUAAUGUCCUUCCCCUACAACAAUAGCUACAACUGAGUGUUGUGUGCAGCUUUAAGAAUGAAUAAUAACUCAUUCUUGCUCAUUAUUUCAAGCUUGCCAUGGCAACACGCUCAGAAUCAGUUCCAUACCUGGGGCUGGACCAGGCCUGGCGACGUGAGGGGCUGAAGCGCAGGGCAGGUGGCUCAUCGUGGCGUGCUGGGUGCUUCUGCUUCAGCAGUGCCCAAAAGCUCUGAUGAAGUCUUUUGCAACGUUAACCUCAGCAUCAUUCUGUAAACAGGGCUGCUGUGCCGGCUGGCUUGCAGCCAGGGAAAAAAGGGCUGCAAGCAGAGGGGGCCCGUGGGAAGGGGCUCUCACAUGCAAAUCAUGGUGGUGGUGCUCAGCACACUUUAAUCCUUUGUCCACUUUAGCUGGGUGCGGAUAAUGCAACUAAUUCAAGUGCUUGUCUCUCUGGUGUGAAUUUGCUGGAUGACAGCCUAAAACCUCUCCCCGGCAACAGCAAACCCAAAAAAAAGGCAGAAGCACAGCUCCUCUCUGUUCCCAGCCGCCCUGCCCAACAUCUGAGUGUGUCCAGCAGCAGAUUUCUGCAGCUCAGGCUCAUUGGGGAGAGCAGAGCCGGGGGUCACACACUUGCCAUGGCUUUUGCCUGCCGCUGGCUGCAGGGCAGCGUAUCCCUGUGGCCUCCGAACCUUCGGCAUCAGCCAGGCCUCAGGCUGUGAGCAGCUCUGGGAUGUGCAGUCAGCUGCCAGGUUGUUCCUCACCGCCUUCUGCCUGCGCGGUGUGAAGGGAGCGGGUUUGUUCAGCACUCAGCUGGCCCUGCCCGCCAAAUGGCUCCGCAAAAAUGGCUUUUAUUCCUUCCCGAGUGCAAAUGUGGCAGGCUGCCGCAUGCUCUGGUGAGCCAUGUUGUCCUCAGCCUGUUCCUCAGUCAUGUUGAGACCAGGACCAGCAGAAAGCAGAGGCAGAUUCUCACAAGCUUGAAUGCUUGUCUCAUACUGAUUGCAUUGGGAUUUGGACUGGGGCUCACAGCAAGACAUGCAUGAGUGCUUACUGCAAACUGUGUUGAUCGGAGCCAAACUGGUCAGCAGUGCUGCCUGCCCCAGUUCAUGACGUUGCUGGAGAUGGUUGUGUGUGAAGCAGAUUCCGUCUCUGCUUCAGCUACUCUCUUUGGUUUCUCUCUUUCAGCUCUGAACGUUGUUUUUACUGCAGUGACCAUCAAGAUGCUGAGUUCAAGCUUUUCUGGAUUUCCUUUGGGCAGCGCAGCAGCCCUGGAGCUGUUCCUUAUGGCAGCACAUCAGGAAUGCUUGAACAGUGCUUGUCUCCCAUUCCCGUGCCCCAGUUUCCCUCAGUUGUGAUGGGGGACCUGCAGAUGCUGUGAUGAGAGCACACAGCAGGGCUGCUGGUGGCUCUGUGUGCAUUCACACCGGGCAUUUACACAGCUCCCCUCCUCAGAAUGUUCAGCCUGCAGAUGAGAAUAGUAUCUAUAUGUCAGCCUCAGUGAGAGCUGGCAGCUGGUGGGCAGCCCUGUGGAGGGAAGAGCAGUCCAAUUCUCGUCCAAAACUUCUCGUAGUGUCACAGCAGCAGGAGGAGAACCCAGGAGUGUGUACAGGGGGAGGCUCUGAGCCCAGAGGAUACCUAUGGUUGGGAACAGGGAGGGCAGCAGGAGGAAAGGUUGUCUAGUUCACAGUACACUAACUCUGCACCCUGCUGCAUGGCAUGCAGCAUCCUCCUGCUGCCCCACCUCAGGCCGGUGUGAGCUGGGCAUGUGUUUAUGAAUGUAAAAUAGGCUGUGUGCACAGAGGCAAGAUGUUUAUUGUAAACGGAGCCAGGCAGUAAGGUUUUUUUGGGAGAGUCACUCUGUGUCUGUUGGGGGUAGGAAAGCCAAGCACUUCUCUUGGUAAACAGCUCUAUAAGUGACUUUUUAAGUUCAUUUUCAUCCUGCAUUUUGUGCCAGGUGACUUUCUCAAGGUCACAGUAUUGCUCCCACCUUCUCCCCCUACAAAGGGUAUCAGAGCUCUGCUGGCACCAAUAAAUCCUAAUUAGGCUGAGCAGCCGCAUCUGACUCGACUCCCCUCCCCCACAUUCUCCCCACCUAUUUUGAUUCCCAGUUGCAUUUAAGCCUGGCUCCUUGCCUAGCACAGCCUUUGGGCAGAUGUCCCAGUACUGUCCCUAUUCUCUUGGCUCGGUCUCAGCUCUGCUGACUGCCCUGAGUUCAUCAAUUACCAAGACACAGGUGGAGUGCCAGGGAAAUUCAAGACAACACAUUUGAGGAGAUGCCUUACCUUUGCCUUCUCGCUGGGCUCUUUGACAAUGCCAUUGGUAGAAUUGUUGA